GUGGAUUAGAUACCCUGGUAGUCCUGGCAGUAAACGGUGCACGUUUGGUGUGGGAGGAUUCGACCCCUUCUGCGCCGGAGCUAACGCGUUAAACGUGCCGCCUGGGGAGUACGGUCGCAAGAUUAAAACUCAAAGAAAUUGACGGGGGCCCGCACAAGCGGUGGAGUAUGUGGCUUAAUUCGAUGCAACGCGAAGAACCUUACCUGGCCUUGACAUGCAUCUCUAAGCUGGUGAAAGCCAGUGAGUGUCGAAAGACACAAUUUGCACAGGUGCUGCAUGGCCGUCGACAACU
rnacentral:rRNA from 1 species